rnacentral:ncRNA from 1 species
GGAGGUCUUAGAAUCCCCGCGCAUGAGGGUGUUAAUAGCAAUGUCUUUGGCCGGGCAUUGUGGUUAGUGAAUC